UACGUAGGUGUCAAGCGUUGUCCGGAUUUAUUGGGCGUAAAGAGCCCGCAGGCGGCUUGCCAAGUUCGAGGUGAAAUCUCCCGGCUCAACCGGGAGGGUGCCUCGAAAACUGGCAGGCUUGAGGCAGGGAGAGGGAUGUGGAAUUCCCGGUGUAGUGGUGAAAUGCGUAGAUAUCGGGAGGAACACCAGUGGCGAAGGCGGCAUCCUGGCCCUGUCCUGACGCUCAGGGGCGAAAGCGUGGGGAGCAAACCGG
rnacentral:rRNA from 1 species